rnacentral:rRNA from 1 species
GACGAACGCUGGCGGCAGGCCUAACACAUGCAAGUCGAACGAAGCCUUCGGGCUUAGUGGCGGACGGGUGAGUAACACGUGGGAACGUACCUUUUGGUUCGGAAUAACGCAGAGAAAUUUGCGCUAAUACCGAAUGAGCCCUUCGGGGGAAAGAUUUAUCGCCGAAAGAUCGGCCCGCGUUGGAUUAGGUAGUUGGUGUGGUAAAGGCGCACCAAGCCCACGAUCCAUAGCUGGUCUGAGAGGAUGAUCAGCCACACUGGGACUGAGACACGGCCCAGACUCCUACGGGAGGCAGCAGUGGGGAAUCUUGCGCAAUGGGCGAAAGCCUGACGCAGCCAUGCCGCGUGAAUGAUGAAGGUCUUAGGAUUGUAAAAUUCUUUUACCAGGGACGAUAAUGACGGUACCUGGAGAAAAAGCCCCGGCUAACUUCGUGCCAGCCGCCGCUGUAACAC